UAGGGAAUCUUCCGCAAUGGGCGAAAGCCUGACGGAGCAACGCCGCGUGAGUGAUGAAGGUCUUCGGAUCGUAAAACUCUGUUAUUAGGGAAGAACAAAUGUGUAAGUAACUAUGCACGUCUUGACGGUACCUAAUCAGAAAGCCACGGCUAACUACGUGCCAGCAGCCGCGGUAAUACGUAGGUGGCAAGCGUUAUCCGGAAUUAUUGGGCGUAAAGCGCGCGUAGGCGGUUUUUUAAGUCUGAUGUGAAAGCCCACGGCUCAACCGUGGAGGGUCAUUGGAAACUGGAAAACUUGAGUGCAGAAGAGGAAAGUGGAAUUCCAUGUGUAGCGGUGAAAUGCGCAGAGAUAUGGAGGAACACCAGUGGCGAAGGCGACUUUCUGGUCUGUAACUGACGCUGAUGUGCGAAAGCGUGGGGAGCAAACAGG
rnacentral:rRNA from 2 species